AGCAAUAAUUAGCCAUUUUAAAGAAGGGGUUUACCUACAUAAAUGUGCAUGCCCAUCGGUGUAUGUGCAUUUGUGCACAUGUAUGUGCAUCUGAGAGUAUGUGUUUGCAUGUGAGAGCAUCUGUGUGUGUGUAGGAACUUUGCAGCACCCACAGGGCCAUCUUCUUGUCAGGCCCAAGGGGCAGCCUGAGAGAGUUGACCGCGACACACACACACACACACACACACACACACACACACACGCCAUUUGUGAUCAUGUGCUCAUAUGACUAUAUGUGCCCAAGAAAUCACAUUCAUGUGUUGCAUGUGUGUGAGCACGUUUGAGUAUGUGUGGGCAUCUCCAUAUGUGUAUGAAUGUGUGCAUGUGUAUGCUUGUACGUGCACAUGUAUAGCAGUGGGAGGGAGUCUGUGGGGACAGUCUCUGAUCUGGGAGGCACUUUGUGGUAAGAAGGGUCUUGUGGUUGUCUUUCACUAUGUCCAUUCCCUGCCCUGCCCUGCCCUGCCCAGCUCCACGUGAAUGUAGCACAACCCCACCAGGCCAGCUGAGCCUCUGCUGGCCCUCACCUCUGUCCAUGUCCCCCUCAGCUGAGGGUAGGGUAGAGGAGCUGGAGUUCCCUUGGAUAGGACACUGACUGGGUUUGGCCAGGGUGCAGAGGGUAUGACACAGUGGUAGGUCUCACUGUUGUGGUUUGUUUCUGAAUUUGUACUGUGAGCCCAUGAUGGGGGUGGGGGUGUCCUGAGACCCCAGGAUGUGCCAAAAUAGCCCCUAGGGCCAGGUGACGAGCCGAGUUCCCAAGAAGACAGGCUGGGGGCCCAAGUGGGUGUGUACCCCUGCCUGCAUGGCCCCCAAUGCUGCUGUUUUUCAAUAAAACCAGAAUUG
rnacentral:lncRNA from 1 species